rnacentral:lncRNA from 1 species
GCACGUCUAUCCACAUUGAGUUUGUAGCUUUCAAUCUGAGAAAAAUCCGAAAGAGCGACAGAAGGCGCACAGAAUUGAUGUAGAAGUCACAAUCUACCCCUCGAAGAGUUUUAGUUUUUUCAAAUUAUUUUUACUAGAUACGUCUGUCUACAUUAAGUUUGGUGAUCCUUCUGGAUUAGAUGAGGUAAGGAGGGUGCACUUAGUGGCGUGGAGCUCAAUCU